UGGGGAAUAUUGCACAAUGGGCGCAAGCCUGAUGCAGCCAUGCCGCGUGUAUGAAGAAGGCCUUCGGGUUGUAAAGUACUUUCAGCGGGGAGGAAGGGAGUAAAGUUAAUACCUUUGCUCAUUGACGUUACCCGCAGAAGAAGCACCGGCUAACUCCGUGCCAGCAGCCGCGGUAAUACGGAGGGUGCAAGCGUUAAUCGGAAUUACUGGGCGUAAAGCGCACGCAGGCGGUUUGUUAAGUCAGAUGUGAAAUCCUCGGGCUUAACCCGGGAAUUGCAUCUGAUACUGGUCAGCUAGAGUCUUGUAGAGGGGGGUAGAAUUCCAUGUGUAGCGGUGAAAUGCGUAGAGAUGUGGAGGAAUACCGGUGGCGAAGGCGGCCCCCUGGACAAAGACUGACGCUCAGGUGCGAAAGCGUGGGGAGCAAACAGG
rnacentral:rRNA from 1 species